rnacentral:rRNA from 1 species
UACGAAGGGGGGCUAGCGUUGUUCGGAAUUACUGGGCGUAAAGGGCGCGUAGGCGGUACUUCAAGUCAGGCGUGAAAGCCCCGGGCUCAACCUGGGAACCGCGCUUGAGACUGGAGAACUAGAGUUCGGGAGAGGAUGGUGGAAUUCCCAGUGUAGAGGUGAAAUUCGUAGAUAUUCGCAGGAACACCAGUGGCGAAGGCGGCUUAC